rnacentral:rRNA from 1 species
UGGAGCGUGUGGUUUAAUUCGAUGCUACACGAAGAACCUUACCAGGGUUUGACAUGCAAGUGGUAGGAAACCGAAAGGCGGCCGACCCUUCGGGGAGCUUGCACAGGUGCUGCAUGGCUGUCGUCAGCUCGUGUCGUGAGAUGUUCGGUUAAGUCCGCUAACGAGCGCAACCCUCGCUGUGUGUUAUAUGUGUCACACGGGACUGCCGGUCUUAAGCCGGAGGAAGGUGAGGAUGAUGUCAAGUCAGCAUGGCCUUUAUAUCUUGGGCA